GCUUUUUGGUAAUUUUGAUAUAAAAAGUCGUGCCUGCCCGGUGACUGAAAAGUUUAACGGCCGCAGUUGUCCUGUGCUAAGGUAGCAUAAUGAUUAGCUCUUUAAUUGGGGGAAAGUAUGAAUGGUCUGUCAUGGAGAUACUGUCUUUAAUAUAAUUUAUUAGAAAUUUUUUUUCAGGUGAAAAAACUUGAAUGUUUGUAAAAGACGAGAAGACCCUAUCGAACUAAAUUAGAAUAUAAUAAUCAGUGUUCUUGUUUUCCGAUUAUUAUGCAUUUGAAUUUUUGUUGGGGUAACAGUGGACUAAGAACAACGUCCUCUUAUUAAGUAAAGAUCCUAUUUGAUGGAUAAAAGCAAAAGUUACCGUAGGGAUAACAGCGUAAUAUUUUUCUAAGAGAUCUUAUUGAAGAAAGGGUGUGCGACCUCGAUGUUGAAUUAGAGAAACUUUUUGGUUGUAGAAGCUAUGAAAGUAAGACUGUUCGUCUUUUAAACCUCU
rnacentral:rRNA from 1 species